rnacentral:tRNA from 1 species
GGGCCCGUAGCUUAGCCAGGUAGAGCGCCCUGGGGCCCAGCCCCGCGCAAGGCUCAUAACCGGGCGGUCCCGGGUUCAAAUCCCGGCGGGCCCA